GACGAACGCUGGCGGCGUGCUUAACACAUGCAAGUCGAACGGAAAGGCCCUGCUUUUGUGGGGUGCUCGAGUGGCGAACGGGUGAGUAACACGCGAGUAACCUGCCCUUGACUUUGGGAUAACUUCAGGAAACUGGGGCUAAUACCGGAUAGGAGCUCCUGCUGCAUGGUGGGGGUUGGAAAGUUUCGGCGGUUGGGGAUGGACUCGCGGCUUAUCAGCUUGUUGGUGGGGUAGUGGCUUACCAAGGCUUUGACGGGUAGCCGGCCUGAGAGGGUGACCGGGCACAUUGGGACUGAGAUACGGCCCAGACUGCUACGGGAGGCAGCAGUGGGGAAUCUUGCACAGUGGGCGGAAGCCUGAUGCAGAAACGCCACGUGCGGGAUGACGGCCUUCGAGUUGUAAACAGCUUUCGCCUGUGACGAAGCGUGAGUGACGGUAAUGGGUAAAGAAGCACCGGCUAACUACGUG
rnacentral:rRNA from 1 species